CGCACAUUGCGCCCUUUGGUAAUCCUUAGGGCAUGCCUGUUCGAGCGUCAUCUAACCUCUCAAGCACUGCUUGGUGUUGGGCGUUUGUCCCGCCCCCGGUGUGGACUCGCCUUGAAUCCAUUGGCGGCCUCUGUAUCGGGCUAUCGAGCGCAGCAGACCAGCGCCUCGUGCCCCAUACUUUGUCACCCAGGAAGCACUUCAACCUUUUGACCUCGGAUCAGGUAGGGAUACCCGCUGAACUUAA
rnacentral:misc_RNA from 1 species